GCGCCAAGGCGCAAGGCGCACCGUGGCGAUGUUCCUCAAGGCGCUCGCCAUGGUGCGCCAUUGGCUUAAAUAUAAGCGCCUUGGUUCAAAGGCGCGCGUUUCCGUUAAAACACUACUUUGACGGAACCCUUAAAACAUCUUGGAACUCUAUCACUACUUUCUCGACCAUUUAAAUAUCCUUAAAACAUAAUGCUUAGAUCGUCAGAGUUUUAGGUUUUGUUGGAUUUGAUCAAUUGAAUUUAGUUUUUUUUUGUUUCAAGUUCUUUGUUUUGGUGUUUAUAUAUGUGUACAUAGCUGACUAUAUUAGUGUGCAUGACUAACUUGUUGCUGACUAUAUUAGUGUGUAUAAAUAAGACAGUUUGGUAUAGCUGA